UUGUGGUGUCAUGGUCAUUGUUGACCGUUCAUAUGAACCCUGCAAUAGCAUUGCAGCUUGUGUGGGGUUCAUAUAACGGUCAACAUAGACCAUUGACAUAAAAAGUAGACACAAA
rnacentral:pre_miRNA from 1 species